AGUGAACGCUGGCGGUAGGCCUAACACAUGCAAGUCGAACGGCAGCACAGUAAGAGCUUGCUCUUACGGGUGGCGAGUGGCGGACGGGUGAGGAAUACAUCGGAAUCUACUUUUUUGUGGGGGAUAACGUAGGGAAACUUACGCUAAUACCGCAUACGACCUACGGGUGAAAGCAGGGGAUCUUCGGACCUUGCGCGAUUGAAUGAGCCGAUGUCGGAUUAGCUAGUUGGCGGGGUAAAGGCCCACCAAGGCGACGAUCCGUAGCUGGUCUGAGAGGAUGAUCAGCCACACUGGAACUGAGACACGGUCCAGACUCCUACGGGAGGCAGCAGUGGGGAAUAUUGGACAAUGGCGCAAGCCUGAUCCAGCCAUACCGCGUGGGUGAAGAAGGCCUUCGGGUUGUAAAGCCCUUUUGUUGGGAAAGAAAAGCAGCAGGUUAAUACCCCGCUGUUCUGACGGUACCCAAAGAAUAAGCACCGGCUAACUUCGUG
rnacentral:rRNA from 1 species